AGUGAACGCUGGCGGUAGGCCUAACACAUGCAAGUCGAACGGCAGCACAGUAAGAGCUUGCUCUUACGGGUGGCGAGUGGCGGACGGGUGAGGAAUACAUCGGAAUCUACUUUUUCGUGGGGGAUAACGUAGGGAAACUUACGCUAAUACCGCAUACGACCUACGGGUGAAAGCAGGGGAUCUUCGUACCUUGCGCGAUUGAAUGAGCCGAUGUCGGAUUAGCUAGUUGGCGGGGUAAAGGCCCACCAAGGCGACGAUCCGUAGCUGGUCUGAGAGGAUGAUCAGCCACACUGGAACUGAGACACAGUCCAGACUCCUACGGGAGGCAGCAGUGGGGAAUAUUGGACAAUGGGCGCAAGCCUGAUCCAGCCAUACCGCGUGGGUGAAGAAGGCCUUCGGGUUGUAAAGCCCUUUUGUUGGGAAAGAAAAGCAGCAGGUUAAUACCCCGCUGUUCUGACGGUACCCAAAGAAUAAGCACCGGCUAACUUCGUG
rnacentral:rRNA from 1 species